AUUGAACGCUGGCGGCAGGCUUAACACAUGCAAGUCGAGCGAGCGGCGGACGGGUGAGUAAUGUCUGGGAAACUGCCUGAUGGAGGGGGAUAACUACUGGAAACGGUAGCUAAUACCGCAUACCAUCAGAUGUGCCCAGCUGGGAUUAGCUAGUAGGUGGGGGAACGGCUCACCUAGGCGACGAUCCCUAGCUGGUCUGAGAGGAUGACCAGCCACACUGGAACUGAGAGACGGUCCAGACUCCUACGGGAGGCAGCAGUGGGGAAUAUUGCACAAUGGGCGCAAGCCUGAUACAGCCAUGCCGCGUGUAUGAAGAAGGCCUUCGGGUUGUAAAGCACUUUCAGCGAGGAGGCGUUACUCGCAGAAGAAGCACCGGCUAACUCCGUGCCAGCAGCCGCGGUAAUUC
rnacentral:rRNA from 1 species